rnacentral:lncRNA from 1 species
AAGACUACACUACUACCAUCUUCUACUUCUACCAUCUACUGUCUUCAACUCUCUACCGUCUUUAACCCAUUACCACCUUCAACCUCCUACAACCCAAACGUUCUAAUACUCCUCUUCCUUCCUAGUUACUGUAAGUUGGUUUACUUAUUUUCUGGUGUUCCGUUGUUUUGAUUUUCUGGUGUUCCGUUGUUUUGAUUUUCUGGUGUUCUGAUAUUAUCGUUCUGGUGUUCUUGUGGGGUUCGGUGAUCCGUAUUCGUUUAUUUUGCGUUCCGGUUAUCUGGUUUUCCGGUGUUCUGAUAUUUUCUGUCUGGUGUACCGGUGUUGAGGUCGAUUGAUAGUUAUGGGUUUCUCGUUCUGUUCAAGACUUUACUAGUCGGUGUUUUUCUGCAUUUUCUUCUGCCUUUUCGGUUGAUUUAGUCACACAUCUCGUUCUCGUUAAUUUCGUCUAAUAUAUUCUGCGAUUUCUGGAAAAUUUAUUCAACGUUUCUGUCUUUCACACAACUCUUAGGAUCACAAUGUCUUUCUAUUGUGUUAGAAUUUUCCACAUUGAGGGCAUACAACCACGUCAUUAAUUAUAUGGAGCAGGAGGAGCUUCUGGGACGUACUCAAGAACUGGCUCAGUCCAAGACAACACUGGAGGCGGACGACGAGGCGUUGGAUGGACAGGUUCUCGACGACUACCUGGUUGAGCAAGCGACAGUUCUUCGUACUCCUCCGGUGGGGUCCUAUGGUUAAGGCGGAGCCUACUUGUUUGCGGCGUCAGGUAGUCGUCGUCGGCGACGGUGAGGUCUAUGAUCUCUCUCUCUCCCGUAGAAAACGUCGUUGUUGACGACAAACACGAUCACCGUUAGUCGAUGAACCUCCUGUUUCGAGUCUUCGAACCAUGGCUGAACGGUUUGGAGAUGAAGAACGUGCCUGGAGUGAAAGAAUAUAUGGAGAAGAAGAGUGUAUGGCUAAUAUUGUUGAACG